GCGGAGACGGUUGGAGGAGGAGAAGUUCAAAUAUGGCGGAGGUCCAGCCGGACAGAGAGCGACUGCGAGCUGCUGUCCAACUGGGACCGACAGAGGCUCAGAGCAAAAGGAAGACCUCACACCUCCCGUCAGGAUCAGGUGAGGAUGGAGGUAACCACGCAAGAGACGUGACUGAAGACAAAGGUUCAGCAAAAGGAGAGCGCAGUCUGGUCAAAAGAGUAGGCGUCUCACUUGGUGAAAACAAGACCUGAAAACAUCUAAACAAGGUCCCAAAUUGGAUGACACUGCGAGUCACCCUUACCCUAAUCGUAGAGUUGUGAUAUUUCAUGCUGAGUUCUGUCAGAAACAGAGCAGAAGACAUCGAGGGCACCAUUGAGAUACAUCAGGAGCAUGAUCUGCAUGCAGAGUAAAUUCUUCUUCCCAGAAGAGAGUGUGUCAACGAUCUAACACAUAUAAGAACAUAGGAA